rnacentral:rRNA from 1 species
AUUGAACGCUGGCGGCAGGCCUAACACAUGCAAGUCGAACGAGUGGCGGACGGGUGAGUAAUGUCUGGGGAACUGCCUGAUGGAGGGGGAUAACUACUGGAAACGGUGGCUAAUACCGCAUACCAUCAGAUGUACCCAUAUGGGAUUAGCUGGUUGGUGGGGUAACGGCUCACCAAGGCGACGAUCCCUAGCUGGUCUGAGAGGAUGACCAGCCACACGGGAACUGAGACACGGGCCAGACUCCUACGGGAGGCAGCAGUGGGGAAUAUUGCACAAUGGGCGCAAGCCUGAUGCAGCCAUGCCGCGUGUAUGAAGAAGGCCUUAGGGUUGUAAAGUACUUUCAGCGGGGAGGCGUUACCCGCAGAAGAAGCACCGGCUAACUCCGUGCCAGCAGCCGCGGUAAUAC